AGUGAACGCUGGCGGUAGGCCUAACACAUGCAAGUCGAACGGCGGCACAGUAAGAGCUUGCUCUUACGGGUGGCGAGUGGCGGACGGGUGAGGAAUACAUCGGAAUCUACUUUUUCGUGGGGGAUAACGUAGGGAAACUUACGCUAAUACCGCAUACGACCUACGGGUGAAAGCAGGGGAUCUUCGGACCUUGCGCGAUUGGAUGAGCCGAUGUCGGAUUAGCUAGUUGGCGGGGUAAAGGCCCACCAAGGCGACGAUCCGUAGCUGGUCUGAGAGGAUGAUCAGCCACACUGGAACUGAGACACGGUCCAGACUCCUACGGGAGGCAGCAGUGGGGAAUAUUGGACAAAGGGCGCAAGCCUGAUCCAGCCAUACCGCGUGGGUGAAGAAGGCCUUCGGGUUGUAAAGCCCUUUUGUUGGGAAAGAAAAGCAGCAGGUUAAUACCCCGCUGUUCUGACGGUACCCAAAGAAUAAGCACCGGCUAACUUCGUG
rnacentral:rRNA from 1 species